CCAAGCUCACACAGAACACAGAGCCUGAGAGGAGACGAAAAUACAGUGGCAAAGUUUAAACUCAAUCUUUGAAUCGAUUCUGAAUCGCAGAGCAGAAAACAGCUCACACUGCUAAUACCGGUGUGUUUGGAGAAGGUUAGCUCGCUAUCAUCCCGCUCGUACCCCGUUUCCAUUUCAACCUCUGUGUCCGAGUUUUCAUCGUCAUAUGAAUCGUCAUUUGAAUCACCAUAUGAAUCGUCAUUUGAAUCGCUUGCCUCUUUGAAGUCAAUGUCCUCCAAAUUGUCUGCCAAGUUAUCUGGAAGUAGAAACUGAGAGUUAACAGUGUUGAUUAAGAAACCUCCUCCAUUCAUUUUCUGUAGACGUUAUCCUCGUUAGGGUGUGUUUAGUCUAUCAAAUCUGUCAUUGUACACCCCUGGACCGGAUUCAAAACAUUAUGCCCUCCAACCUCACAUUGACUGCCAUUGUCGGCGAAAGCUGUCCAAUCCAUUGACUGGGAAGGCGAGGAGUGAAUGGCCAAAGCCAAUCCUCGCAGUUCAUAUAGGUUGGACGUCUAUUACGGAAAACUUUUGAAAUGGAAAUUUCACCUGCUGUGGAUAACACACACUCGCAUGGAACCAACGAUGCCAGCAUGCACAAGAAUUUCUUUGCCAGUUGAAAGAGGUUUGGAUAAGAUGUUGGCUCCUCCAGUAUUGAAGAAAAUCUGCAUUGCGUGCCAUGUUCAGCUCAACCAUGCAUCGUUGCACUUUUGCAAUUUCAUCUACAGUUGCAUUGCCUCCUUGACUCCCCACUUCGUCAUCUAAGUGGUACCGUAGCCCAUCAGAAAAAAAUUGAAGUGGACAAUAAAUAAAUAUAGCUUAAUUACCAAUUUCUAACAAAUUACCAAAAAAGCUACUGUGGGAAAGUAAAGGAAUGGCUCUAUACCUGUGUGUAUUUUGGGAUUAUCAGAAACUUCAUUCUCAUGCUUGGCCCAAUAAUGCUUCAGCAUUGGGGAGGUGGCUACUGUUUGUAUAUGACUGGUUGAAAGUACAAAUGCGACAUUUCACCUGCAAAAAAAUAACGUUAAUAAUAUAACCGCUGACUUUGGAGCCGCGCCGUGCGACGCAAUCCAUUCAGACCAGGAGUCCCACCUGCGCGCACGACGCAUCGAGGACAAAAGAGCAUGUUGACAACGAGGAAGUAACCAGUGAGAUGUGGAUUGUUUCAGCAGCUCCAUCGCGUUGACAGACGCGCUUCCUUUUGAACCAGUUUGCCGCGUCAUGACUGUGUCGACACAGUUCAAUGAGUUCAUGCAUCGGUCACGUGAUUUUCUUGUAGUGAUACGCGCACCGACGCAGGGGUUGCUCCAUGAGCUCGGCGCGCGCGCCGGCGCAUUUAUAUCACUGGACCCAUCACUAGUUUUCACAACUAGAAUAUUGUUUUUCCAGAAAAUGUCUAGAUUUCCUUGAUUUACGCACUUGUGGUAAUAUAUUAAAGAUGACAUCAUGUCAUACAAAAUUACACUAAGUUAAGUUCUAAGAGGUAGUUCGUAGUUUGUUUCGUUGCAUCGACAUAUAAAAACAUUUUUUCACCAGAAAGUUUGGGUUUGUUUGGUC